CCCUACGGGGUGCACCAGGCGCGCAAACUUUACAAUGCGAGCAAUCGUGAUAAGGAAACCCUGAGUGCCUGUCGAUGCAGGCUGUUCAUAUAUCUAAAUCAUAUGUGAAGAAAGGGCAGGGCAAGACCGGUGCCAGCCGCCGCGGUAA
rnacentral:rRNA from 1 species